UACGUAGGUGGCUAGCGUUGUCCGGAUUUACUGGGCGUAAAGAGCGCGCAGGCGGUCGUUCAAGUCGAGUGUGAAAGCCCCCGGCUCAACUGGGGAGGGUCACUCGAUACUGCUCGACUUGAAGGUGGGAGAGGGAAGCGGAAUUCCCGGUGUAGUGGUGAAAUGCGUAGAUAUCGGGAGGAACACCAGUGGCGAAGGCGGCUUUCUGGCCCAUUCUUGACGCUGAGGCGCGAAAGCUAGGGUAGCAAACGGG
rnacentral:rRNA from 1 species